AGUGAACGCUGGCGGUAGGCCUAACACAUGCAAGUCGAACGGCAGCACAGUAAGAGCUUGCUCUUACGGGUGACGAGUGGCGGACGGGUGAGGAAUACAUCGGAAUCUACUUUUUCGUGGGGGAUAACGUAGGGAAACUUACGCUAAUACCGCAUACGACCUACGGGUGAAAGCAGGGGAUCUUCGGACCUUGCGCGAUUGAAUGAGCCGAUGUCGGAUUAGCUAGUUGGCGGGGUAAAGGCCCACCAAGGCGACGAUCCGUAGCUGGUCUGAGAGGAUGGUCAGCCACACUGGAACUGAGACACGGUCCAGACUCCUACGGGAGGCAGCAGUGGGGAAUAUUGGGCAAUGGGCGCAAGCCUGAUCCAGCCAUACCGCGUGGGUGAAGAAGGCCUUCGGGUUGUAAAGCCCUUUUGUUGGGAAAGAAAAGCAGCAGGUUAAUACCCCGCUGUUCUGACGGUACCCAAAGAAUAAGCACCGGCUAACUUCGUG
rnacentral:rRNA from 1 species